rnacentral:rRNA from 1 species
CUGGAGAAGCUGAUGAGCCCGCCGCGUGAGUGAAGAAGGCCUUCGGAUUGUAAAACUCUGUUGUACGAAAAGAAUGCUGAUCUUCUUGUAAAAGUUGUGGAUGACCGGUCUCUAACCAGAAACGCCGGGUUAAUUCCUGGCCACCGCCCCGGGAAUUGGUAAGGUGCCAGGGGUUGUCCGGAUUACUGGGGGUAAAACGUGGCCCAGGGGGGAUGAUAAACAUAAUGUAAACCGCCGGGCUUCACCCGUUGCGGGCUUUGUGACUGGUUCAAUUUGGUUGCGCUAAAGGAGGGGGAAUUUCCCGGGGUACCGUGAAAUGGCUAAAUUUGCUGAGGAACCCCCCUGGGCAAAGGCGCCUCCUGGGCCUGUACUGGACCUCAUGCAUCAAAGCGUGGGGAGCAAACCAGAUUUAAUUACCCGGUAGUCCACGCCCUAAACGAUGUGAACGAUUUGUGCUUGGAGGAUCUCAUUGUAUAUGACACCUAACACGUGAAGUUGACUCCCUGUGGAGAACGGCCGCAAGGUUAAAACUCUCAGGAAUUGACGGGGACCCGCACAAGCGGUGGAUGAUGUGUGAUUAUUUCUCUGCACCGCGAAAAACCUUACCUACCCUUGACAUGCCUCAACUUAUUCCAAAUGGCUUGAAGCUCCUUCGAGAGCCUGGACACAGGUGCUGCAUGGCUGUCGUCAGCUCGUGUCGUGAGAUGUUGGGUUAAGUCCCGCAACGAGCGCAACCCUUGUCGUUAAUUGCCAUCAUUAAGUUGGGCACUCUAGCGAGACUGCCGGUGACAAACCGGAGGAAGGUGGGGAUGACGUCAAGUCCUCAUGCCCCUUAUGAGUGGGCUACACACGUGCUACAAUGGUCGGUACAGAGAGUUGCCAGACCGCGAUGUCGAGCCAAUCUCUUAAAGCCGAUCUCAGUCCGGAUUGUAGGCUGCAACUCGACUACAUGAAGUCGGAAUCGCUAGUAAUCGCAGAUCAGCAUGCUGCGGUG